GAUGAACGCUGGCGGCGUGCUUAAUACAUGCAAGUCGAACGGUACUCGCAAGAGUAUAGUGGCGAACGGGUGAGUAACGCGUUGGUGACCUGCCCCGAAGAGAGGGAUAACAGAUCGAAAGGUCUGCUAAUACCGCAUGCUUUCACGGAGAUUAGAAUUCUGUGAAGAAAUGGCGAAAGUCGCUUCGGGAGGGACCUGCGUCCCAUCAGCUAGUUGGUGAGGUAACGGCCCACCAAGGCUAUGACGGGUAGGGGACCUGAGAGGGUGGCCCCCCACAAUGGAACUGAAACAACGGUCCAUACACCUACCGGGUGGGCAGCAGUAGGGAAUAAUUGGUAAUGGGCGAAAGCCUGAACC
rnacentral:rRNA from 1 species